rnacentral:rRNA from 1 species
AUAAACGCUGGCGGCGUGCCUAAUACAUGCAAGUCGAGCGAACAGAUGAGGAGCUUGCUCCUCUGACGUUAGCGGCGGACGGGUGAGUAACACGUGGAUAACCUACCUAUAAGACUGGGAUAACUUCGGGAAACCGGAGCUAAUACCGGAUAAUAUAUUGAACCGCAUGGUUCAAUAGUGAAAGACGGUUUUGCUGUCACUUAUAGAUGGAUCCGCGCCGCAUUAGCUAGUUGGUAAGGUAACGGCUUACCAAGGCAACGAUGCGUAGCCGACCUGAGAGGGUGAUCGGCCACACUGGAACUGAGACACGGUCCAGACUCCUACGGGAGGCAGCAGUAGGGAAUCUUCCGCAAUGGGCGAAAGCCUGACGGAGCAACGCCGCGUGAGUGAUGAAGGUCUUCGGAUCGUAAAACCCUGUUAUUAGGGAAGAACAAAUGUGUAAGUAACUAUGCACGUCUUGACGGUACCUAAUCAGAAAGCCACGGCUAACUACGUG